UUGCCAUCAGGUACAAAGGAAACCAGCAUAUUCUUGACUGACAAGAAUAGGCUGCUAGGGAGAAAAAUGAUGGUAACUAGCAAAAGAAGAUAUUUAAAACCACUGUAGCACAUGUGCUGAUACAAAAAAGUUACUAGUAGUUUUUUUUCUUUCUAGCCUAGUUAUUUUCUUGAAAGCUCUUGUAAUUAUUAAAAAUGGUAUUACGCUAACCAUUGUUGGUUUUUUUUUGUUUUAAGACCAAGACUUCUCUUGACUUUGCUAUUGUGUCUAAAAGGAAUGUUGGAUCUUGCUGGCUGAUGAUUUCUUCACUGUCAAGAAAGUCUAGCCUUCAAGAGAGUAGGUUAAACUAAGCACAGCUCAGGUCCUAUCAGUGGUGCAGCGCUAAUGACUCAGUCGUCUCUCUCUAUGGAUACUUGUACAGGAGGUGUGGAACUAACAGUUCUUCCUGAGGAACAAAAUUUUUGCUCUUUUGGAACAAUGGGCCCCAUUCCUAGGGCUCAUAAAUCAAAUCAAAGAAGCCUGAGGGAUUUAUACCAGAGAAUGAUCUGCACCACCAGAGCUUGCACAGUCAAGGCCUUUUAAGCCAUCCACCAGUGAAUGGACUGGGGGUGCACAAAAGUUUGGAGGGACAGAAUCAGGACAGCUGACCCCAACAGACCCAGGGAAUAUCCCGUACCAUGCUCGGCAAUAAAAGCUGGUGAAGAAGAAGAGGAGAUGCUGGCAGUAAUGACAUCUGCCUUUCAAAAUCACUGCUGUGUGUGAUGGAGCCCCACUUUUCUGGGGAUGACUGAACCCCUGCCUGCUGUUUUCUGACUUCUACACACCCCAUCCCUCUGUGAGGAAGUGAGUUAGCAUCUGCAUGGGACUGAGCUGCCACAAAAAACCCACAACAUUUUUCUGAAAGCCAUGACAG